AACUUUGCACAGUGGCAGUAUCACAGCCAAUGAGAUUUAUCUGAGGCACAAUUAUUGCUAAUUGAAAACUUUUCCCAAUACCCUGCUGUGAUGACUUGCAAUAUAGUCAGCAUUGGCAAUUUUUGACAGUCUCUCCGGAGA
rnacentral:snRNA from 1 species